rnacentral:rRNA from 1 species
AUACGGAGGACGCGAGCGUUAUCCGGAUUCAUUGGGUUUAAAGGGUGCGCAGGCGGCCGUGCAAGUCAGCGGUGAAAGCCCGGGGCUCAACCCCGGAAGUGCCGUUGAUACUGCAUGGCUGGAAUGCGGUCGAGGCGGGCGGAACGUGGCGUGUAGCGGUGAAAUGCGUAGAGAUGCCACAGAAAGCCGAUAGCGGAGGCAGCUCGCCAGGCCUGCAUUGACGCUCGGGCACGAAAGCGUGGGGAUCGAACAGGAUUAGAUACCCUGGUAGUCCACGCCGUAAACGAUGGGCGCUCGUCGUCGGCGGCAGACAGUCGGCGGCCAAGCGAAAGCGAUAAGCGCCCCACCUGGGGAGUACGGUCGCAAGGCUGAAACUCAAAUGAAUUGACGGGG